rnacentral:rRNA from 1 species
UCAGAAACUUAAAGGAAUUGACGGGACCCCGCACAAGCGGUGGAUCAUGUUGUUUAAUUCGAUGAUACGCGAAGAACCUUACCAGGUCUUGACAUCCCCCGCGAUGCUUUAGAGAUAAAGCGGAGGUAUUCGGGGAGACAGGUGGUGCAUGGUUGUCGUCAGCUCGUGUCGUGAGAUGUUGGGUUAAGUCCCGCAACGAGCGCAACCCCUAUUGCUAGUUACCAUCAUUAAGUUGGGGACUCUAGCGAGACUGCCAGUGAUAAACUGGAGGAAGGUGGGGAUGACGUCAAAUCAUCAUGCCCCUUAUGACCUGGGCUACAAACGUGAUACAAUGGCUGGAACAAAGGGAUGCGAAGCAGUGAUGUGGAGCGAAACCCAUAAAAACAGUCUCAGUUCGGAUUGAAGUCUGCAACUCGACUUCAUGAAGUCGGAAUCGCUAGUAAUCGCGGAUCAGAACGCCGCGGUGAAUACGUUCUCGGGGUUU